GAUGAACGCUGGCGGCGUGCCUAAUACAUGCAAGUCGAGCGAACGGACGAGGAGCUUGCUUCUCUGAUGUUAGCGGCGGACGGGUGAGUAAAACGUGGAUAACCUACCUAUAAGACUGGGAUAACUUCGGGAAACCGUAGCUAAUACCGGAUAAUAUUUUGAACCGCAUGGUUCAAAAGUGAAAGACGGUCUUGCUGUCACUUAUAGAUGGAUCCGCGCUGCAUUAGCUAGUUGGUAAGGUAACGGCUUACCAAGGCAACGAUGCAUAGCCGACCUGAGAGGGUGAUCGGCCACACUGGAACUGAGACACGGUCCAGACUCCUACGGGAGGCAGCAGUAGGGAAUCUUCCGCAAUGGGCGAAAGCCUGACGGAGCAACGCCGCGUGAGUGAUGAAGGUCUUCGGAUCGUAAAACUCUGUUAUUAGGGAAGAACAUAUGUGUAAGUAACUGUGCACAUCUUGACGGUACCUAAUCAGAAAGCCACGGCUAACUACGUG
rnacentral:rRNA from 1 species